CACGCAGGCGGUGACUUAAGUGAGGUGUGAAAGCCCCGGGCUUAACCUGGGAAUUGCAUUUCAUACUGGGUCGCUAGAGUACUUUAGGGAGGGGUAGAAUUCCACGUGUAGCGGUGAAAUGCGUAGAGAUGUGGAGGAAUACCGAAGGCGAAGGCAGCCCCUUGGGAAUGUACUGACGCUCAUGUGCGAAAGCGUGAGGAAGCAAAACAG
rnacentral:rRNA from 1 species